GCUUAUUGUCCAGUUGCAAGUAUUUCAUGCUCAUUUAAAGUGAACAUACAAAUAAUUCUGGUACAGUUCAAUUAAUCGUUUACUAUGUAAAUUAUUUUAUACUAAUAAACUCCGAUGAUGCCUUUUAUAUUAAUCAGAAUAUCGCACGGUGGGCUUUCAGUCGAAUUGACCUCCCAUCUUUUUUUAACAGUUCUAAUUUUAAAUAAAUUUUAGGUUACGAGCGUCACUAAAGACACACGAACAAGAGAAAUAACGUCCAGUGCCAAAUAUUUCAUUCGUUAUUUGAACGAUAUCAUAUUAACGAUAUAUACUGUAGAUAGGUUAUAUUAUCAAACCGGG
rnacentral:lncRNA from 1 species